GGGCCCGCGCCUCAGCGGUGCCGGGCUGCACUUUCCGCGGUCUGAAGUUGCUCAAAGUCCCGCGAAGAAGUUUAGGAACGGACUUCUGCUCCCCGCCCGUGGGUCCCCGCCGAAGAACAGCGGCGGCCUCUGUGAAGUUGAGUUGUUCUGGCUCCUGAUGAUACUUUGAUCUUCGAUUUCAAUCUCUGAGUAAGCUGUGGCCAAGGCAAAUCCUUUCCUCUGUAGAAGAGGUCAUAGUUCUGCCUGCUCUUCAGCUGAAGGGUGGGAUAGUUAACCCAGAGAGUCCUCUAGCGGAAAUGAUGCUUGUACUGACUGAACAGCUGUUUUCCUGAUGGCAGAGUAUUGCACUUUUAUCUCCUACUGAAACACCCUCAGCUUAAUGAAAAGGUGAGAUAUUGCUGUCUACUACACCUACGUUUGACAGCUCCUACAGAUCUUUUACUCUGAAGAGGAGAUUGUGAACUGAUCUGUUUGAGAAAGAAGGCUUCAAAAAAAGAUUUUUC